rnacentral:rRNA from 1 species
AAAUAACAGGUCAAUGAUGCUCUUAUAAGGUCUGGGCUGCACGCGUGCUACAUUGGCGCAUUCAACGAGUCCAGCCUGCCUCGAAAGGGGCGGGUAACCUUUAAUGUGCGCCCAAGUGGGGAUAGACGAUUGUAAUUAUUCGUCUUGAACUAGGAACUCCUAGUAAACGCAAGUCAUCAGCUUGCAUUGAUUACGUCCCUGCCCUUUGUACACACCGCCCGUCGCUCCUACCGAUUGAAUAAUCCGGUGAAUUGAGUGG